rnacentral:tRNA from 1 species
GGGCCGUUAGCUCAAUGGUAGAGCAGAGGCCUUUUAAGCCUUUGGUUACAGGUUCGAGUCCUGUACGGCUCACCU